AUUGAACGCUGGCGGCAGGCUUAACACAUGCAAGUCGAGCGGGGGAAGGUAGCUUGCUACCGGACCUAGCGGCGGACGGGUGAGUAAUGCUUAGGAAUCUGCCUAUUAGUGGGGGACAACAUCUCGAAAGGGAUGCUAAUACCGCAUACGUCCUACGGGAGAAAGCAGGGGAUCUUCGGACCUUGCGCUAAUAGAUGAGCCUAAGUCGGAUUAGCUAGUUGGUGGGGUAAAGGCCUACCAAGGCGACGAUCUGUAGCGGGUCUGAGAGGUUGAUCCGCCACACUGGGACUGAGACACGGCCCAGACUCCUACGGGAGGCAGCAGUGGGGAAUAUUGGACAAUGGGGGGAACCCUGAUCCAGCCAUGCCGCGUGUGUGAAGAAGGCCUUAUGGUUGUAAAGCACUUUAAGCGAGGAGGAGGCUACUUUAGUUAAUACCUAGAGAUAGUGGACGUUACUCGCAGAAUAAGCACCGGCUAACUCUGUGCCAGCCGCCGCCGUAAUAC
rnacentral:rRNA from 1 species